GACGAACCGAGCGAACGUUGUUCGGAAUCACUGGGCUUAAAGGGCGCGUAGGCGGGGUCAUAAGUCUGUGGUGAAAUCCUCCGGCUCAACCGGAGAACUGCCUCGGAUACUGUGGCUCUCGAGGGUGGUAGGGGUAUGCGGAACUAUCGGUGGAGCGGUGAAAUGCGUUGAUAUCGAUAGGAACUCCGGUGGCGAAGGCGGCAUACUGGACCACUUCUGACGCUGAGGCGCGACAGCGUGGGGAGCAAACAGG
rnacentral:rRNA from 1 species